CACUUUUGAGAAGGGGACAUCAAGUCGAGGCCCCUCGCCGGUCGUCGCCAGAAUUCAUCGAACACAGGUAACGCGCAGAGGGUGGCACGGCGGGUGGCACGGCGGGUGGCACGGCGGGUGGCACGGCGGGUGGCACACUCCACGCCGCUGGCCUCGACAUGGGCCACAAGCGGGACUUCCCGACUAGCACGUCUGUGCAGGAUAUCAUACUAUACUGUAAAUCACUGCUGAACCAUUACAGUAUAUAUGAUGUGCUGCGGAGGGCUAUGUCCUUGUCUGCGUCGGCGAGGCCCACGAACGGCGUCGCCUCCCCGAGUCAAGAGUCAAAGGGUUUCCUCCCGAUGAGCGGGCGUUCACUCGGAGCCAGUCGUGGAUAUUCCCGUAGUCUUCUCCAGAGUUGAGGGCCAAAUCUAGACGUAGGAUGACCGGCAGUCGAUUGACAACUGAGAAUGAGAAUUGCACUUUAGAGAAUUGUCAAAAAUAAUGGUGUGUGCUCAAUUGUAUAUAGAAGCAAACGUAUUCAUUCUGUAGAAGAUAUUUUAAACUAAAAAAAAAACUAACCGUUGCCCAACAUGGAUAUGUUGUAAUUCGUUUUUUUUGGAAUCGAUUUCGCUGUAAAGUAAUUGAUAUAUUCGCUGAUUGAUAUAUCUCUGCACAUUACUCAGGUGGGGAAACACCGUGUCAGUGGAGACGCAGAGACGAACACUCGAUGACUCUCCACAAUCUCGAUGGCACCUGUCCACCAGCAUGUUUAUCGCUCUCUAAUUGAUUUUUGGUUUUUGUUAUCUCUGCAAGAGUGGUGAAUGUGUCUAUCAGAGCACAGCGAACCCACGACGGCCUAUAAUACGCAUUACACGUGUAACAUGGCAUGACGGUAUUGGGCUGAGGGCGAGGGGGGGGCCCUUGAAUGGAGGGAAGAAGCUCAAGAAGAUGAACGACCCUGGGGGAGUGGCAAUAAAACCGUUACCAUUAUUGUAACCAAUAAUGGUAAGGGUUCUCUUGCUGCUUCCCACUGCUUCGCGUCAACCCGGAGGAUCGCCGCGACCGACCGCAAGCCCCUGCCGCCUGCCCCCCCCCUCUGCACGCCGGAGAGGACACGCGGGGGACACACAAAGACAAAAGAUUACCCCCCCCCCGUAUAGCCUUGACAGACUGUUGGGGCAAGUGCUGUUAGCGAGGGGGGUGGGUUGGGUGGCCAGCACCACGCCGGGCCGCCUUUGUCUCCCUUUGUGGCCACGUUUACGAUACCGCCACUGCACCAGUUCGACCUAGGGGGGCGGAGGAACCCGGGACCGGUUCAGAUUCAUCGCCGCAGGUGUCGUGCGGUCGCGAGCGGGGAUCGAACCCGGGUGGCCAGGUUCGCAGUUGCCGGGUGCCAUGCUCCCCCACGCGCUCAGCGGCAGGGAAUGGGAUGCGCACCGAGGUGGCUGGCACAAGACGGUAGGUACACCCAUCGCCUCCGUUGACAUUUAGGAGGCCCCGUACAGCGUCGCAUAUCGGACCACCGCACGCGCGCGCGCUCGCCCAUUACUAACCCAUCCGCAUCCAGUGCAGAGCAUGUGCAACGAUGGUGGUGGUGGUGUCACUCAUUGCACAUCAGGGGGGUAAAACAAAUACGCAGCCCCUCCAGAUGCUCAACGACGCUUCUGGGAGAACGCCAUCCAAAUACCCUCGAGAGAGAGAGACGGAGUUCUUUAGUAUUUGGCCUACUCUUCCACACUGUGAACGUCUACUAUAGAUUGCUCACGCAUCUGAUAGUUGUUGAUUUUUUACACAUCCCGCCUGCGAGUCGGAUAUGCGACAGAGCUGCACUUUACUGGAAUCAUUGCGCGAUCAUGACCACAAGAAAAUAAAUAAAAUUGCAUCUGCCAGAGUAUGGGACAAACGUCAGACAUGACUUCCUGCUCAAACGAGCGCGGUUGUCGAUGGAGUGGUCGUCAACAUCUCUCCGUGGACCGGAGCCGGUGGUGGGACUUUCCACAUUCCUAUGGCGGGGUCCAGGCUCUCCACGGCAGUGUUGACUUGCCACGAGGGGCUAUUUGUUCAACGUAUCGCCGCUAUUGUGUGGGCAGUGCGUUGCUGCGUGUAAGCGUCACUUGCUUACAAGCACGAAUGUGAAAAUAAACACGUGAUUACACUCUCAAA